UUAAGCAUAUUAAUAAGCGGAGGAAAAGAAACUAACAAGGAUUCCCUCAGUAACGGCGAGCGAAGUGGGAAUAGCUCAAAUUUGAAAUCUCCGGUGCCUGCACCGGCGAAUUGUAGUCUGUAGGGCCAGUUUCGCCCGAGACGGUGUCCCCAAAGUCGUCCUGGAAAGGCGGGCCAGAGAGGGUGAGAGCCCCGUGCGUGGGGGCGCCGUCGGAGGUAAGAUCUGUGCCCGAAGAGUCGGGUUGUUUGAGAUUGCAGCCCAAAAUGGGUGGUAAACUCCAUCUAAAGCUAAAUACUGGCACGAGACCGAUAGCGAACAAGUACCGUGAGGGAAAGAUGAAAAGCACUUUGAAAAGAGAGUCAAACAGUACGUGAAACCGUCAGGAGGGAAACGAACGAGGUUGGUGCAGUGGUCGCGCAGGUUCAAGCACUGCCAAAGGUGCCGGCGUGUCGACGAAGAUCGUCCCGCGCCGUCGACCGGAGGCGGUGCCGUACUCCUCGUGACCAUUGACCAGCAGCGGUUGGGCCGGAGCCAUAAGGCAGCAGUGGAAGGUGAGUCGGUGUGAGCCCGUCUUGCAUUGACAGCUUAUAGCCCUGUCUGUACGGUGCUCCGGCGUGACCGAGGAAGCCGGGCAGCCCUUGCCCAUUGUGGUGCACGCCGAAUGGCGGGGCCUCCCGACAGGAGCAAACCGUGCGGUGUGGACUGCAUGCAGUGCUCACUGUUGCGGUGAACUCGUGCCGGAGAGUGCCACUGGUGUGCCAGUGCUGCUGGUGUUCAGAUGGCCUCGUCCGACCCGUCUU
rnacentral:rRNA from 1 species